CAACAUAUAAACAUAAUAUAUAAAAUCCUACAAAAUGGCUUUCUCCAACGAUCAAUCUUAUUUUUUGGGUGUUUCAUUCAUAGUUUUAGUCUUGGUUUCAGGAGUCGUUACUAGUUUUGAGACAUCACCUGUGGCACGUGCCAAACCAGGAUGUCUUGUGGGGAGUCCAGGACAAUCUUGUUGCAUAGGGGGAUGUACUUCAACCUGCGACACAGAUUGUAAGAAAAGAGGACAUCCUAAUGGUGGAUUAUGUGUCUUUGUACUUAUUUCGAACCUAUGUUGUUGUUUUACAACAUGAAUUGAAUUCUAUUGUAUGCAAGGACAGAUCCAGAAAUUUAUCAUAUAUAUGUAGCUGAAAAUAGUAAUAAAAUUAUAUAAUGUAUUCUACAA